AUUUUACCCGCUGAACUUAAGCAUAUCAAUAAGCGGAGGAAAAGAAACUAACAAGGAUUCCCCUAGUAACGGCGAGUGAAGAGGGAAGAGCUCAAAUUUUGAAUCUGGCGUCUCUGGCGUCCGAAUUGUAAUCUAGAGAAGUGUUUUCCGUGACGGACCGUGCACAAGUCUCCUGGAAUGGAGCGUCAUAGAGGGUGAGAAUCCCGUAUAUGGCAUGGACUCCCGUUGCUCUGUGAUACACUCUCGACGAGUCGAGUUGUUUGGGAAUGCAGCUCUAAAUGGGUGGUAAAUGCCAUCUAAAGCUAAAUAUUGGCGAGAGACCGAUAGCGAACAAGUACCGUGAGGGAAAGAUGAAAAGCACUUUGGAAAGAGAGUGAAACAGUACGUGAAAUUGUUGAAAGGGAAACGCUUGAAGUCAGUCGCGCCGUUCGGGAUUCAGCCUUGCUUCUGCUCGGUUUACUUCCCGUUGGGUGGGUCAACAUCAGUUUCGAUCGGAGGAGAAAGGCUUGGGGAAGGUAGCAGCAUUCGUGCUGUGUUAUAGCCCCUUGUUGUAUACUUCGAUUGGGACUGAGGACCGCAGCACGCCUCUGGCCGGGGUUCGCCCACGUACGUGCUUAGGAUGUUGGCAUAAUGGCUUUAAGCGACCCGUCUUGAAACACGGACCAAGGAGUCUAACAUGUGCGCGAGUGUUUGGGUGUUAAACUCGGACGCGAAAUGAAAGUGAAAAGUUGGGAACACUUAUGUGUGCACCGACGCCCGGAGCUGACCUUCUGUGACGCAUCUGCGGUAGAGCGUAUAUGUUGGGACCCGAAAGAUGGUGAACUAUGCCUGAAUAGGGUGAAGCCAGAGGAAACUCUGGUGGAGGCUCGUAGCGAUUCUGACGUGCAAAUCGAUCGUCAAAUUUGGGUAUAGGGGCGAAAGUCUUUUCAACCAUCUAGUAGCUGGUUCCUGCCGAAUC
rnacentral:rRNA from 1 species